rnacentral:rRNA from 1 species
AACGAACGCUGGCGGCAUGCCUAACACAUGCAAGUCGAACGAGACCUUCGGGUCUAGUGGCGCACGGGUGCGUAACGCGUGGGAACCUGCCUUUAGGUUCGGAAUAACUCAGAGAAAUUUGAGCUAAUACCGGAUGAUGUCUUCGGACCAAAGAUUUAUCGCCUUUAGAUGGGCCCGCGUUGGAUUAGCUAGUUGGUGGGGUAAAGGCCUACCAAGGCGACGAUCCAUAGCUGGUCUGAGGGGAUGAUCAGCCACACUGGGACUGAGACACGGCCCAGACUCCUACGGGAGGCAGCAGUGGGGAAUAUUGGACAAUGGGCGAAAGCCUGAUCCAGCAAUGCCGCGUGAGUGAUGAAGGCCUUAGGGUUGUAAAGCUCUUUUACCCGAGAUGAUAAUGACAGUAUCGGGAGAAUAAGCGCCGGCUAACUCCGUG